rnacentral:rRNA from 1 species
GACGAACGCUGGCGGCGUGCUUAACACAUGCAAGUCCUACGGUAAGGCCCUUUCGGGGGUACACGAGUGGCGAACGGGUGAGUAACACGUGAGUAACCUGCCCACAACUUUGGGAUAACGCUAGGAAACUGGUGCUAAUACUGGAUAUGUGCUCCUGCUGCAUGGUGGGGGUUGGAAAGCUCCGGCGGUUGUGGAUGGACUCGCGGCCUAUCAGCUUGUUGGUGGGGUAGUGGCCUACCAAGGCGGCGACGGGUAGCCGGCCUGAGAGGGUGACCGGCCACAUUGGGACUGAGAUACGGCCCAGACUCCUACGGGAGGCAGCAGUGGGGAAUAUUGCACAAUGGGCGCAAGCCUGAUGCAGCAACGCCGCGUGCGGGAUGACGGCCUUCGGGUUGUAAACCGCUUUCAGCAGGGACGAAGCUUUUUGUGACGGUACCUGCAGAAGAAGCACCGGCUAACUACGUG